rnacentral:antisense_RNA from 1 species
GGCCAGGCGGUUGCCCUGACAACGGGGAACCGACCGACUCUUCCCGGUAGGGAGAGGCGAUGGCGGAAUUACUCCUCUAAUGUCAAGGUAUUCUAAUCACAGAAUUACUGGAGCAUCAAGAAGUGCCUGCAUGCUUGGAAGGGCUUCCAGGCAGAUGAACACACCUCAGCACCGGGUGGCAUUUUCCCAGGGUGCAACCCGGAGCGGCUCUGGGUCACACUGACAAGCCUCUCCAACUCCCCAGGCUGGGUUGGGUGCUCCUCCCUCUCAUCCCACAGCGCUAUGUCUCAUGUCUUCUGGAAAACUUGCCAAUCCCUAGUGACAACAGGGUUAACAAUUUCCAGAGACAGCCCGUACAUAGAAGGAAUGUUUACUGAAAAAAAUGAAGAGGGGUCAGGGCAAGGCGAGGAGCGAGAAGCACCCCCAAGGAAACAGAGAAGACCAGUACAACUGUACCUCUUUGCCAGCUGCACCAUCCGUACCAGUCUCCUGGGGUGGAAGUGUCCAGCGCAGAGACUGCCACACUGCAAGAUGAAGGGGCUGGACACACGGAAGAGAGAGGCGGAACCCUGCACCCCCUCGACCUCAGCCCUACUGAGUCUCCAAUGGGGCCACGCUUCUGAGUGCACCUCCCCCUGUCAUCUGUAAUGUGAGGGGGAACCAGGCUUGAUAUGGCAUUCCCAAUCCAGGGCCUCUGGACCCCUUGAGAUGCAU